rnacentral:rRNA from 1 species
AUUGAACGCUGGCGGCAGGCCUAACACAUGCAAGUCGAACGAGUGGCGGACGGGUGAGUAAUGUCUGGGAAACUGCCUGAUGGAGGGGGAUAACUACUGGAAACGGUAGCUAAUACCGCAUACCAUCGGAUGUGCCCAGAUGGGAUUAGCUAGUAGGUGGGGUAAAGGCUCACCUAGGCGACUAUCCCUAGCUGGUCUGUGAGGAUGACCAGCCACCUUGGACCUGAGAACCGGUCCAGACUCCUACGUGAGGCAGCAGUGGGUAUUAUUGCACAAUGGUCGCAAGCCUGAUGCAGCCAUGCCGCGUUUAUGAAGAAGGCCGUCGUGUUGUAAAGUACUUUCAGCGGGGAGGCGUUACCCGCAGAAGAAGCACCGGCUAACUCCGUGCCAGCAGCCGCGGUAAUUC